rnacentral:rRNA from 1 species
AGAACGAACGCUGGCGGCAGGCUUAACACAUGCAAGUCGAACGCCCCGCAAGGGGAGUGGCAGACGGGUGAGUAACGCGUGGGAAUCUACCCAGUUCUACGGAAUAACACAGGGAAACUUGUGCUAAUACCGUAUACGCCCUACGGGGGAAAGAUUUAUCGGGAUUGGAUGAGCCCGCGUUGGAUUAGCUAGUUGGUGGGGUAAUGGCCUACCAAGGCGACGAUCCAUAGCUGGUCUGAGAGGAUGAUCAGCCACACUGGGACUGAGACACGGCCCAGACUCCUACGGGAGGCAGCAGUGGGGAAUAUUGGACAAUGGGCGAAAGCCUGAUCCAGCCAUGCCGCGUGAGUGAUGAAGGCCUUAGGGUUGUAAAGCUCUUUCAGUGGGAAGAUAAUGACGUACCACAGAAGAAGCCCGGCUAACUUCGUGCCAGCAGCCGAC